rnacentral:rRNA from 1 species
GACGAACGCUGGCGGCGUGCUUAACACAUGCAAGUCGAACGGAAAGGCCCUGCUUUUGUGGGGUGCUCGAGUGGCGAACGGGUGAGUAACACGUGAGUAACCUGCCCUUGACUUUGGGAUAACUUCAGGAAACUGGGGCUAAUACCGGAUAGGAGCUCCUGCUGCAUGGUGGGGGUUGGAAAGUUUCGGCGGUUGGGGAUGGACUCGCGGCUUAUCAGCUUGUUGGUGGGGUAGUGGCUUACCAAGGCUUUGACGGGUAGCCGGCCUGAGAGGGUGACCGUCCACAUUGGGACUGAGAUACGGCCCAGACUCCUCCGGGAGGCAGUAGUGGGGAAUAUUGCACGAUGGGCGGAAGCCUGAUGCAGCAACGCCGCGUGCGGGAUGACGGCCUUCGGGUUGUAAACCGCUUUCGCCUGUGACGAAGCGUGAGUGACGGUAAUGGGUAAAGAAGCACCGGCUAACUACGUG